AGGGCCCAGGCGGGCGGCGGCCGGGGGAAGGCUCCGGGCCGCGGGGCUCCGUCUCCGGCCCUCCCCGAGCCCCCAGGCUCGCUGCGAGGAGCCGGGGCCGGCAGCAGCCGAGGGCCGGGCGGAGGCCUCGUCCCACCGGGGCUCGGCGGCACCGAGGGCCCGGCAGCGGCGGCGGCAGCACCGCGGCCUGCGAGGUUGACCUGGCCUCCCUCCGCCCGGCCCGCGACGGCCGGGGACGGGGAAUCGCAGCGCAUUUGCGUUAGUGUUUCCCGUGUCGUUUUCACGACUUUUUAAUUAACCGUGCUCAGAAAGUACGCUCCUCCUCUCACACGCCUUCCUGUUGUAAAUGUAUGCUGAAAAUAACCAAAUCAGCAGCAAACGCGGCGUGCCAGGGCCUGGCGCGAAUAUUUGCCUCUUCCUUCAUCGGCUCUUUUGGGCUUCAAUAAGCAAAGCCCUGGUCUGUUACAACAGAAGAUAUCCUGCGUUGCAGUAAUUAUCGGUUUGUUCGAGGAUUCAGCACAGAAGAUUAUGUGACAUGGUUGAAGGAGUACUGUGAAGCCUUUUCCAGUGAUCUGACUAAAAAUCCUGGAACCCAUUCCAGUUUCACGUACAGCGUGUGCUUUUGGAGUAAAUGAACACACUACAGGUAGCCUACAAACUCAUGCAGGGGAUCUGUUGAAAUACCUGAAGGAGAAAAGACAGCUGCUUUGUGUGUUGUGGGAAUAACAAUGACAGACCUUUAUCCAGAUUGAGUCUUGGAAUUUCGUUUUUGGACAAGCUGCUUUGACAGAAGUUGUUGCAAAUCAUCUUUGUUCACUGCUGCAACGGAGCCAGAGUCAGCUUGGGAGACAGUUUGGCUUCCUGGGAGUUUGGUAUUUGUGUCGUCUGCUCUACUUGCACGUGUGAUCACCUACCUCUGUUCUAGGACUUUUGCAACUAGAAUGAAAACAAAUGGCAAUUAAUGUGUAUCAGUGGCGUGAUGAGUCCUUCAGCAAGUCGUCUGCAAAUCUAAUACACACAUUCGUAUGUGGAAUUUAGCAGCGUGGCCGUAUUACUCCUUGCAGGGUUUGGUGGGUCUAGGAGUUACAGACUAAGCGAGGAAGGACACAGCCUCACCUGGUGUAGGGAGAAAUAAGGUUUGAGGAAGGGAAAAUUGCCCCUUAGUGCGCCUGGCCUGGUAUUUAUUAGUUUGAUUCCUGAUACGUGAGCCGCCUAGCCUGGCACGUAGCAAGUAUUCUGCAAUUCAGCGAGAUGAUAAAAUAAUUACUUGAUUGCCUGCUUCUUGAAGCCGCGAGGAUAAUGUCCCUAAGUAGCACCAAUUCAGCCACCGCUCAGAAGGAGAAAAGGCUGCUCAGAACCAGGCCUGCGCUGGUGAGCGUUUACAAGAGUCCCCUCGA